rnacentral:rRNA from 1 species
AUUGAACGCUGGCGGCAUGCCUUACACAUGCAAGUCGAACGGUAACGGGCCUGCGGGUGCCGACGAGUGGCGAACGGGUGAGUAAUGCAUCGGAACGUACCAUUGAGUGGGGGAUAACGUAGCGAAAGUUACGCUAAUACCGCAUAUUCUGUGAGCAGGAAAGCAGGGGAUCGCAAGACCUUGCGCUCUUUGAGCGGCCGAUGUCGGAUUAGCUAGUGGUGGGGUAAAGGCCCACCAAGGCUACGAUCCGUAGCGGGUCUGAGAGGAUGAUCCGCCACCCUGGGACUGAGACACGGCCCAGACUCCUGCGGGAGGCAGCAGUGGGGAAUUUUGGACAAUGGGGGCAACCCUGAUCCAGCCAUGCCGCGUGAGGGAAGAAGGCCUUCGGGUUGUAAAGCUCUUUCGGCCGGGAAGAAAUCGUGUGGGCUAAUACCCUGCAUGGAUGACGGUACCGGAAUAAGAAGCACCGGCUAACUACGUGCCAGCCGCCGCCGUAA